rnacentral:tRNA from 1 species
GUUCCUGUAGUUAAAUUUUAUAACAAUGGUUUUUCAGACCAUAGAUCUUGGGGAGGAGCCAAGUAGGAACU